GUGGGAGGAUGCAGCCGUGCGCCGGGGGCUGACGCGCGGAGCCGCCGGCCGCGGGGAGCGGGACCCCCGCCGCCCACCCAUGGUCCCGGCUGGCAGCCGGGGCAGCCCCCCGUGAGGAGGGGCACGGGCACGGCCGGGACGCGGGCAGCGAGCCCCCGCAGCCAUGACGAGCCUGUUCCGCCGGAGCAGCAGCGGCGGCGGCUCCCGCGGCGGCUCCUCCGCCCAGGAGCUCAACAACAGCCGCCCCGCCAGGCAGGUGCGGCGCCUGGAGUUCAACCAGGCCAUGGAGGACUUCAAGACCAUGUUCCCCAACAUGGACUACGACAUCAUCGAGUGCGUCUUGAGAGCCAACAACGGCGCCGUGGACGCCACCAUCGACCAGCUGCUGCAGAUGAACCUGGACGGCAGCGGCUGUGACGACAGCUCGGACUCGGAGGACAGCAUCCCCCCCGAGAUCUUGGAGCGGACCCUGGAGCCGGACAGCUCGGACGAGGAGCCCCCUCCUGUGUACUCCCCUCCUGCCUACGAGAGCCAGGCCUUGGGCAGCCGCUACCCCCGCGCCCCACCCACGCCCCCGCCCAGGACGGACGUGCCCGGCCCUGGCAGCUCCGUGCACUACAGGAACUGGAACCCGCCGCUGCUGGGCAACCUCCCUGAGGACUUCCUGCGCAUCCUGCCCCAGCAGACAGCUGGCACACAGGGCUCCCCCGGGUGCCGGCAGCCCGUGCCACGGGGGCUGGUGCCACGGGGCCAGGGCUCGCUGGAGCAGGAGCGCCGAUGGAAGCAGUACCUGGAGGACGAGCGGAUCGCGCUCUUCCUGCAGAACGAGGAGUUCAUGAAGGAGCUCCAGAGGAACCGGGAUUUCCUUCUCGCCCUGGAGAGAGAUCGAUUGAAAUAUGAGUCAAAAAAAUCCAAGUCGACUGGUGUUGCUGUCAGCAACGACUUUGGUUUCUCCUCCAUAUUAUCAGGUGAGGGAGCUCCCUCUGGACCCAGCGAGGCCGGGGCCGUGUCCGACGAUGCCUUAUUCCGAGACAAGCUCAAACACAUGGGGAAGUCCACGCGCAAGAAGCUGUUUGAACUCGCCAGAGCCUUCUCCGAGAAGACGAAGAUGAGGAAAUCAAAAAGAAAACACUUGUUGAAGCACCAGGUGAUGGGGACAGCGGCUUCCACGGCAAAUCUCCUCGAUGACGUGGAGGGACAUGCAUAUGAUGAAGAUUUCCAAGCACGGCGGCAGCAGCUCCGGGAGGAGGAGGAGACGCCGAAGGAAGGGCAGUAACCGGUCCCAGCUCUGGGGUUUCUUGCUGGCACAGGACGUGCACGAGGCUUCAUCAGGAGAUGGCUGAAAAAGGAAAAACCCACCCAACAAAUCACACAGAUUUUGGCUGUUCCCCCUCUGCUGCUGUACUCCUCUGAAGUACAAGUAUCGAAGUGAGGCACGACGUUUUCUUACCGGUGGUUUGAAAACAACUUUUCCUAUGGAGAAAAUCAGCCAAAAAGGAAAAAAAAAAAGGAAAAAACAAGCGGGCAGCUGCUGCGAGCGGCUGCGGAGGAGGCAGCGAGCUCAGGCUGGGGAGGGCAGCCCCGCCUGCCCCUCAGCUGGCGGCACAGGAGGGAUGAAAUCAGCCGUACUAACGAGGAUCCAGUCCCACGGGGGCCUGCCUGGCCGGAGCACUCCUGAACAUAUCUGUAGUGGUCUGAUGUAACUUCACUCUGCGCACACCGGGACAAAAACCACGUGGGAAAGGGAAGCUAACAGCCGUUGUCUAUUAUUGCUAGGAGUAAUGAGCAGAGGUUCAGAUCAGGCGCUGGCUCCCGGCAGGCUCCUUCAGUCCCAGCGGAGCCCGCGUGCCUUUGAAGUGGACGCCAAGAUUUCCAGAUUUCCUCUCCCGGCAGCGCUGCAGCUGCUGCACCUGUUGAGCGCUGCUGUCGUCCCCUCCAGCCCUGCUGGGGAUGGGAGCAUCCCCUCAGCUUCACUUUCUCCUGGUUCCUGGCCAGGAGCAGGGCUGCUUCCAGGUGUCUGGGGCUGCAGGCUCUGUGUGGUGUCUCUGUAGCACAAAACUCCUGCAGCACCGGCGCUCAGACGAGUUCUGGGGUGCCGAGGGCCAGGGCAGGUGCAGUGGGCUGGGAACACCCUGGGAUGCCAGCAAGCUUUGGGCUCCUAAAAUAAAUCAAAGCAGCAGAAUUCCCACCCCAGCCAGCCCGUACCAGUUUUGGUGUCCUCUCCUUUGCUUUUGAAGACUGAAGAGCAAUCCUGAGUCGCGGCAGCACAGUGACAGGUUAAAGCCACCCCAAGCCACGCUGGUGUCCCACACCGUGGGCAGCACCCCUGCUCCUGUGGUGUGCACAACUGCCAGGAGUGCUGCAAGGCACAGGAUGCCCCGGGCUGCCCUGCCCAGGGCAGGAUGGAGCUCUGGAGGAGCACCUGGCUCAGGGUGCAGGGAAUCAGGGAACGGAAAAUCCUUUAGUCCCUGGGUGGGAUUUCCAUUCUGAGAGAGCUGAGGAGAAGGAGGGGCUCCUGGCCUGCCCUCGCUGGCCCUGGGGGCCCUGCGAGGCUGCCGUUCCUGCUUCCCAGUCCAAAGCAGCUCUGCAUAUUUGGAAGAAAAUCAAACUUGGAAGCGGAUCAGCCCGUCACCAUUCCAGCGCCUCUCCGCCACGGCGGGCUGUGGUGCCAGGGAAGUUUCCAUGAGCGCAGGAAGCACCGGCAGGGAAUUCUGCAAUCCCGGAGCCGGGCUGGCCCCAGGGCCGGGCUGGGCACGGGCUGGCUCCUGGGGAUGGGUUGUGCUUCCCUGGGGAGGCUGGCACACGGCCACAGGGCAGUGCUGUGCCCCGCUGCCUUCGGGGCAAAGAGGGGGACACUGUCCCUGCCCCCAGGGUGCUCCUUUAGGGACACCUGGGUCACACCUGGGUCACCUCUGGGAGCCAGCCCAGGUGUGCUGGCUCUGCUUUCUGCCUGAGCUCGUCCCCUCUGCUCCCACUGAGAGAGGGACAGCAAGGAAGGGCAGCCGGGGCUGGGAGCUGGGGAGGGGACAGGCAGGACAGGUGGGUGGCAGUGCCCAGCCCUGCUGGCUCUGACCCCGCUGGGGUCCUGCACCAAAUCUCCAUGGUCACCACAGGGCUCUGGGCACGGCUUGGCCACCACCACCCCCCAACAAGUUGCCCCUAAACAUCCCAGGCCAGGCACAGCCUCUGGGUGAUGUCACUCUGUGCCCAUGUCAAAAUAUCCUGGAGGCACCAAGCAUCUUUUUAAUGGAAAUGGAGAGGGGUUUUUGUGUCCUGUAAAAAAAUAAAAACCAGGUCUACGGAGUGCAAAGGCCACAAACCUGGCUUGGGAGCCAAAAUGCAUUUCUUACGUAAAAAUGUACAAUUCUCAGUGAUGUUUGUAUCGUUUCUCUACAUUACAGAAAGCUUUCGAAAGAACAAACUGAUCUGUGGUGUGUGUGAGUGUGGCUAUUUUAGAAUUUAUUUCCAUAAGUGAUUUUUUUCUUAAAGAUGUUUAAUAGUAAUUCCUAUAAUAAAGUCCUGUUGUACUCUUCACGCUGUA